rnacentral:rRNA from 1 species
UACGUAGGGUGCGAGCGUUGUCCGGAAUUAUUGGGCGUAAAGGGCUCGUAGGCGGUUUGUCGCGUCGGGAGUGAAACACUGGGCUUAACCCAGUGCUUGCUUUCGAUACGGGCAGACUAGAGGUAUGCAGGGGAGAACGGAAUUCCUGGUGUAGCGGUGAAAUGCGCAGAUAUCAGGAGGAACACCGGUGGCGAAGGCGGUUCUCUGGGACGGUACUGACGCUGGAGACGCGAAAGCGUGGGGAGCGAACAGG